UUGUUGGUGAGGUAAUGGCUCACCAAGGCGACGAUCAGUAGCGGGUCUGAGAGGAUGAUCCGUCACACUGGAACUGAGACACGGUCCAGACUCCUACGGGAGGCAGCAGUGGGGAAUUUUGGACAAUGGGGGCAACCCUGAUCCAGCCAUUCCGCGUGAGUGAAGAAGGCCUUCGGGUUGUAAAGCUCUUUCAGCCGGAACGAAACGGUACGCCUUAAUACGGUGUGCUAAUGACGGUACCGGCAGAAGAAGCACCGGCUAACUACGUGCCAGCAGCCGCGGUAAUACGUAGGGUGCGAGCGUUAAUCGGAAUUACUGGGCGUAAAGCGUGCGCAGGCGGAUUGUUAAGCAAGAUGUGAAAUCCCCGGGCUUAACCUGGGAAUGGCAUUUUGAACUGGCAGUCUAGAGUGUGUCAGAGGGGGGUGGAAUUCCACGUGUAGCAGUGAAAUGCGUAGAUAUGUGGAGGAACACCAAUGGCGAAGGCAGCCCCCUGGGAUAACACUGACGCUCAUGUACGAAAGCGUGGGUAGCAAACAGGAUUAGAUACCCUGGUAGUCCACGCCCUAAACGAUGUCAACUGGUUGUUGGGGGAGUGAAAUCCCUUAGUAACGAAGCUAACGCGUGAAGUUGACCGCCUGGGGAGUACGGUCGCAAGAUUAAAACUCAAAGGAAUUGACGGGGACCCGCACAAGCGGUGGAUGAUGUGGAUUAAUUCGAUGCAACGCGAAAAACCUUACCUACCCUUGACAUGUCCAGAAUCCUGCAGAGAUGCGGGAGUGCCCGAAAGGGAAUUGGAACACAGGUGCUGCAUGGCUGUCGUCAGCUCGUGUCGUGAGAUGUUGGGUUAAGUCCCGCAACGAGCGCAACCCUUAUCAUUAGUUGCUACGCAAGGGCACUCUAAUGAGACUGCCGG
rnacentral:rRNA from 1 species